rnacentral:lncRNA from 1 species
AUCGUACUGAGAGCGAAUUGCAUCCUCCCAUGGAAGUGAAAAGUCUUGGAAACAGCUGAGAACAGACACACUGUUUCCUUCUUAUCCUGUUGUGGCCACAGUAGCCGGGCUGAACAGAGCACUUUUCUAAGUCAGGGAGCCGACCAAGCUCAACAGAGGACCAGCUGAAUGUUCAGGGAGCAGCAAGAAGGAUGUCCCCCAACAAAGAACCAAGGUGCCCCCGCUCUAACCUGGACCAACUGGGACUUGCCCGUCAGCCAUACUCUUGCUACUGUCGCCAUAGCUCUAAGGGCCUCUGCUGAACCUCUAGCCUUUCCACUCCAGGAAGCAAAGAAACAGUAAACUGGAGGGAAGGGGGGAGUCCUCUGGAAAAACAGCAGAAGUCUCCAUGCAGUCAAAGUCUUUGAUGCCCUGUCUCCUGAUCGCGGCCGGCAUAUGGGGCCAUGGCCCGGCUCCCGGGGCACCCGGAGGUCCCCGGCGCCGAGCCUGGCAGCGCAGUCCGAGGGGGCCGAGGCGGCCG